GUUCCACUCUAAUACGAGUAUGUAAAAUAGCUAUAUGACAGUUUUUGUUGGAAAGCUUGUAGUAGGAAAAACACAAUUAUAUGAUGAAAACUCAGGGCCUGUUCUAGCAGUCUAUAUGCCUACUCAAGAGACAAAAACAAGAUGUUCCUUUUGAAUUGGGUAAAAGAAACGACUUUAACUUGAGGAGAAAAAGAGCUCCUGAGCAUCUGAAAAACUCUUCUGCAACUAAGAAUGCCAAAGUAAAGAGCUAUAUAUGCUGAUCUGAAGUGACAUAUCCUACACCAACAAGCUCUCUCUCUCUCAAAUUAUAGUGCAAUUUUUUCAAGUGUAAGGUACAAAUCAAAAAUUCGGCAGGGAUCUUAAAUUCUGGAUCUUAAAUUGUACUGUUGCUUGUGGGGAAAAAAAGGAAAAUUAUUGAUUUGAUUGUUUUAUAUAUGGCCCUUUUGAUAUACAUCACAGAAUUACAUUCAAAACUAGUUAUGAUGUCUAUCUGGUUGAUGAAUUCAUUCAAGUAUAUGAUUUUCCUCCGGUAGGCCGUACACUACCCACCCCACAUAUAUAUAUUUAUAUGAAGGGAAAUCAUCAUUUUUUUUUUUUUUCCUCUUAUGUGAGUGCAGGUCACAUUUCUUAUCUUCUUAGCCAAAAAAACAAAAACAAAAACAAAAAAAAAAAAAAAAAAUGGUUUUUAGCUUUGCUUCACCUUGCACCUUCGGCACCACAGAAUAUUAUGCAGUGUCAAUAUGGGUCCAAAGGGGUAGCAACUUCUUCGUUCCUUCCAAAUGUUUUUACUCAGCUAAGUUGUAAUCUGUGAAUUAUAAGACCGUCUGGAUCAAGCUAAAGAAUAAUUUUCAUUGUAAUAAUGUUUUUGUAUAAAGAUAAGGAAAGUACAUAUUAUGUAACAAACAAAAUAGUUGUCAAGUUUAUAGAAUUUUCGUGUAGUUACUCUAAUUUUACUUGGUAACAUUGCCAAGACAAUGUUUUAUUUA